rnacentral:lncRNA from 13 species
GUGCGUGCUCUUCCAGGCUGACUGACUUGUUUAACUAAGGGCUUUUCUCUCAGCAGGGGCCUGUUCUUGAGUUUGUACACCUUCCCUGUAACAGAGAAAUUACUGGAUGAAAUUGUAUGCUGUCUUGUCCAAUUAUAGGACAAUCAGUGUCGGGAACACCUUACAGGCUAAAAACUUAUACUCUCUCUUUGGUUGACAGAAUCUGGAGUUUCUCAAUGCAAUGUCAACAUGUAUUAACUAAAGAACUAAACAAAAUAUUAAGAGUGUACUUAACUAAUGGUAACUGAGGAGCAGAAGAUACUGUUCAAGGACAUUCAGUAUACCAGGUGGUAAGUAUUUGAUCAGCUAUUGAACCAUUUCAGGAGGAACUUUUAAAAAAAUCGAAAAUUGAGACACAAUAUAAUUUCUCUAUUAUUUUGAUGUUUACUUAUAUAUGAUUUAGUGCCAAAUGCCUUUCCUGUACAUUUAAUGCUUGCAGUAGAUGUGCUUUAUAUGUAUGCUUAUUCUGGAAUGAGGACUCUAAGAAUCUAGCCUUUGUAAAGAGAUCCAUCCAUGUUUGAGGUGAUGAAUAGCCCAGUUACUCUAAUUAGAUCAUUACAUCUGGUGUAUACAUAAAAAUAUUACAUAUUUCCCCAAAAUAUGUACAACUAUAAUAUAUCUAUAAAAAUGUUUCAAUCAAAAAGAGAAAUCGAGUUUUAAAAAUAAGUUUAGAAAAAAUGUUGACUUUAUGAAAAUCCCUGGAUAGCUGCAGCAUGAGGGAAGCAUUCAGAAGAGGGUAAGAGGAGAUGAGAGGAGAAGAGAAGCGGUAUUGCAGAAGUACACCUAAGACAGGAAGGGCAGAGAUGACGGUCGUGUCAAAUUAUC